rnacentral:tRNA from 1 species
AGCGGAGUGGAGCAGGCUUGGCAGCUCAUCGGGCUCAUAACCCGAAGGACGUUGGUUCAAUUCCAACCUCCGCAUC